rnacentral:rRNA from 1 species
UACGAAGGUGGCAAGCGUUGUCCGGAAUCAUUGGGCGUAAAGCGCGUGUAGGCGGCUUUGCAAGUCGGGUGUGAAAGCCCUCAGCUCAACUGAGGAAGUGCGCCCGAAACUGCAGAGCUUGAGUGCCGGAGAGGGUGGCGGAAUUCCCCAAGUAGAGGUGAAAUUCGUAGAUAUGGGGAGGAACACCGGUGGCGAAGGCGGCCACCUGGACGGUAACUGACGCUGAGACGCGAAAGCGUGGGGAGCAAACAGG